rnacentral:lncRNA from 1 species
ACAGGGAAGCUACAGGUUACAACAGAUUUGUGAACUCAGCCAAGCACAGUGGUGGCAGGGCCUAGCUGCUACAAAGAAGACAUGUUUUAGACAAAUACUCAUGUGUAUGGGCAAAAAACUCGAGGACUGUAUUUGUGACUAAUUGUAUAACAGGUUAUUUUAGUUUCUGUUCUGUGGAAAGUGUAAAGCAUUCCAACAAAGGGUUUUAAU